rnacentral:rRNA from 1 species
GACGAACGCUGGCGGCGUGCCUAAUACAUGCAAGUAGAACGCUGACUACUUUAGCUUGCUAGAGUUGGAAGAGUUGCGAACGGGUGAGUAACGCGUAGGUAACCUGCCUAUUAGCGGGGGAUAACUAUUGGAAACGAUAGCUAAUACCGCAUAAUAGUGUUUAACACAUGUUAGAGACUUGAAAGAUGCAAUUGCAUCACUAGUAGAUGGACCUGCGUUGUAUUAGCUAGUUGGUGGGGUAACGGCCUACCAAGGCGACGAUACAUAGCCGACCUGAGAGGGUGAUCGGCCACACUGGGACUGAGACACGGCCCAG